AGUGAACGCUGGCGGCAGGCCUAACACAUGCAAGCCGAACGGCAGCACAGCCGGGGCAACCCGGUGGGUGGCGAGUGGCGGACGGGUGAGGAAUACAUGGGAAUCUGCCCUGUCGUGGGGGAUAACGUAGGGAAACUUACGCUAAUACCGCAUACGACCGGAAGGUGAAAGCGGCGGACCGCAAGGCGUCGCGCGACUGGAUGAGCCCAUGUCGGAUUAGCUAGUUGGCGGGGUAAAGGCCCACCAAGGCGACGAUCCGUAGCUGGUCUGAGAGGAUGAUCAGCAACACUGGAACUGCGACACGGGCCAGACUCGUACGGGAGGCAGCAGUGGGGAAUAUUGGACAAUGGGCGGAAGCCUGACCCAGUCAUGCCGCGUGUGUGAAGAAGGCCUUCGGGUUGUAAAGCACUUUAAGUGGGGAGAAAGGCUCGGCAGCUAAUAUCUGCCGGGAUUGAUGCUACCCACAGAAUAAGCACCGGCUAACUCUGUGCCAGCAGCCGCGGUAAAAC
rnacentral:rRNA from 1 species